CUCUGCCCCUCCCCCACUCAUGCUUGCUCGCUCUCUCAAAAAUAACCACCCCUACCACUUAAGUAUCUGGGCAAGCCCUAAAACCAUGGAGAUUUUACAACGUGUGGCAGAGAGGAUGGAGAGAAAUAACCUGUGGUGGUAAUGAAUAAGAAGUGAUUUGUCUAAAAAACUAAUGAUCUUGUACAGCAGUAACUAUCAUGCCGAAUGAAAUAUAUGCUCUGUAAGAGGCAACUUCCUUUUGGAGUCAAGAGGUUGGAAAAAUCACUGGGGGCUAGGAGAGCUAGAUGACCUUAUGGAAGAAGUAGCUUUUCUUGUGGGCUUUCUAGAAUGCAAUUUUACCAGAUCGUCAAGAGGAGAGAGAUUGAGGAAACACAGGCAUCUUCAACCUCCCUACCAACUUACUCUGUUGAGCCCAUCCCAGUCGAGCCUUCAUUUUCAUCAUUCCACUGGAACCAUUCUCGUCAUGAGUGACCUCCCCAUGGUCAAAUUCUAGAGAAAUCAACAGAAUGACAAAACUGUUUCCAUGAAGAUGACAAAUUGAGAUUUAUAUUAUCAGGGAAAGAACUGCUGAAGAAGGAUGCUCAGGCAAGAAGAUACAGAUGCGGUAGCCAUUCCUUUUAGGGUGGAACGCAAGGUGGUCUGAAAGAGGCAGAGGCUAGGACUACAGACCGGUGCCUGAGGAGAAGCGCUGUAGGAACUUCACAAGCAGUCUCUUCCCGCGCGGACUGCCAGCAGACAUCAUGCAUAGAGUCUACAGCAGGGACAGACCUCAGCCUGCCACAGACACAGCCAGCCUCCUCCUGGAUGGGGGUCUGUGGGAGGGGAGCAGCCUGAGCCAAAGACCCAGAGAGCAUUCUGCCUCCUUUCUCUUCCAUCUCAGCCAGGCAAGAAGGCCCUGGGCGUGCCUGCCUGUCCCGUCCUGUCACGUGGCCCGUCGCCUUGUUGGCCUGGUACCAGCCACUCCCUGGGACUCGGUGCUGUAGUUGCGGAAGUACCGCCGACUCCACACGGUCUCCUCUUUCUCUAGGUGUUGGUGUGUCUACCAAAAUGCCCCUUGUCACCCUACCUUUCUGGGGAAGUCCCGUUCCUCCUUCAGAACGUACUCACUCCGUGUGUGUCCCCGACCACCCCUUCCCCAUCCCUUUGCAGAGCCGUUCGCAGGAGCCAUGACUCGGGCAAGUUACUGCUUUAGUUCCCUCCCUUGGCCAAGGGCAGCAGGAAGACCUUUCCUCAGAGCGGCUGCUGAGGAUGUGUUAAGUGCUCAGCAUGGGGCUUGACACAUGGCCCAGUAGGGGGCACUGUACGCCCGAGGGUGGCCCGUGCGAGUACUGCUUGCUGACUGCAGACCCUCUCAAUGGGGACGCUCCAAGUUACUUUUCUUCGGCCUGCGUGUUCCAUGCCUGGGCCACAUCGGCUCAAAAUAAACACUGCUGGACGAUAAUAACGGUGACUUCACCCCUGCCACCCCGUAGAUCGGCGAGCUGAGGGGCCGUCAGUACAGCCAUCACUUGGCUGUGCCGGAGGGGUGCAAGAGCCCUCAGCGCCGCUCUGGAGAAUGGGGUGUUUGCCGCCCUGCGGAGCCAUCUGUCCUGGCUGCCUGGCCUGGGAGUAGGGCUUCUUAUCUGCAUUAAAACACAACUGCGCCAAAUGAUCCCACAUGCAGCCUCAUGAGCUCACCCCCCAGCUGCGCACACCCGGCAGACAUACGCUCAAAAAGAGGUCCUGGGAUUGGAUGAAGGGGGUAUAAGCAGAAGACUAACCCCGGUAAACAGGGAACAUCCUGGGUGUGCAGAGCUCCUAGCUUUGAGUUUCUAAGGCUGAAGCACGUGAAUGCUUGCAGAUGUUUUAUUUCACGAAGACCAUAAACCCCACAACGGGAGGGAAUGUCUUUAAUGCACCUCCACCAGCCGGCCACUCAGCAUCUAGCACGCUGCUCAGAAAGCCUGCUGGCCAAGAGGCGCCAUAUCCCCCGGCUCAAGCAGAAGAGAGCAAAAGCAGUUCUUAACUUCUGGCAGCGGCAGGAUUCCAGUGAUGCUUGUUGACAAUGGUGAGGAAAGAAGUCACUCUGCCUCCUGCUGGCCACAAACAGAAAGGGUGCGAUCCUUUGGCCCAGGACCAAAGGUCACAUUUCUCCCUCACAGACAUGACACCUUGUGAAGGAAUGGAAGACUAAAUAAAAGGGAAAAGGAAGAGGGGGCUUCCUUUUGAGCUCAGCCUAUAUAAUAAGUGUUAGGUGUUAAUAAACUACUUAGAUCAAGGGGCGCCUGGGUGGCUUAGUUGGUUGAGCGUCC